rnacentral:rRNA from 1 species
GAUGAACGCUAGCGGGAGGCCUAACACAUGCAAGCCGAGCGGUAUUGUUUCUUCGGAAAUGAGAGAGCGGCGUACGGGUGCGGAACACGUGUGCAACCUGCCUUUAUCUGGGGGAUAGCCUUUCGAAAGGAAGAUUAAUACUCCAUAACAUAUUGAACGGCAUCGUUUAAUAUUGAAAGCUCCGGCGGAUAGAGAUGGGCACGCGCAAGAUUAGCUAGUUGGUGAGGUAACGGCUCACCAAGGCGAUGAUCUUUAGGGGGCCUGAGAGGGUGAUCCCCCACACUGGUACUGAGACACGGACCAGACUCCUACGGGAGGCAGCAGUGAGGAAUAUUGGUCAAUGGGUGCAAGCCUGAACCAGCCAUCCCGCGUGAAGGACGACUGCCCUAUGGGUUGUAAACUUCUUUUGUAUAGGGAUAAACCUACUCUCGUGAGGGUAGCUGAAGGUACUAUACGAAUAAGCACCGGCUAACUCCGUGCCAGCAGCCGCCGUAACAC